rnacentral:rRNA from 1 species
CUCCUACGGGAGGCAGCAGUAGGGAAUCUUCCGCAAUGGGCGCAAGCCUGACGGAGCAACGCCGCGUGAGUGAGGAAGGCCUUCGGGUUGUAAAACUCAGUCACCUGGGAAGAGAGGUAUGGGGAGUGGAAUGCCCCAUACGAGACGGUACCAGGGGAGGAAGCCCCGGCUAACUACGUGCCAGCAGCCGCGGUAAUACGUAGGGGGCAAGCGUUGUCCGGAAUCACUGGGCGUAAAGCGUGCGUAGGCGGUCUUUCAAGUCCGGGGUGAAAACUCAAGGCUCAACCUUGAGAAUGCCUUGGAAACUGGGGGACUUGAGUACUGGAGAGGCAAGGGGAAUUCCACGUGUAGCGGUGAAAUGCGUAGAGAUGUGGAGGAAUACCAGUGGCGAAGGCGCCUUGCUGGACAGUGACUGACGCUGAGGCACGAAAGCGUGGGGAGCAAACAGGAUUAGAUACCCUGGUAGUCCACGCUGUAAACGAUGAGUGCUAGGUGUUGGGGGUUCAUCCCCUCAGUGCCGAAGGAAACCCAAUAAGCACUCCGCCUGGGGAGUACGGUCGCAAGACUGAAACUCAAAGGAAUUGACGGGGGCCCGCACAAGCAGUGGAGCAUGUGGUUUAAUUCGAAGCAACGCGAAGAACCUUACCAGGGCUUGACAUCCCUCUGACCGGUUCAGAGAUGGACCUUCCCUUCGGGGCAGAGGAGACAGGUGGUGCAUGGUUGUCGUCAGCUCGUGUCGUGAGAUGUUGGGUUAAGUCCCGCAACGAGCGCAACCCUUGACCUGUGUUACCAGCACGUAAUGGUGGGGACUCACAGGUGACUGCCGGCGUAAGUCGGAGGAAGGUGGGGAUGACGUCAAAUCAUCAUGCCCUUUAUGUCCUGGGCUACACACGUGCUACAAUGGGCGGUACAACGGGAAGCGAGACCGCGAGGUGGAGCGAAACCCAAAAAGCCGUUCGUAGUUCGGAUUGCAGGCUGCAACCCGCCUGCAUGAAGCCGGAAUUGCUAGUAAUCGCGGAUCAGCAUGCCGCGGUGAAUCCGUUCCCGGGCCUUGCACACACCGCCCGU